UACGGAGGGUGCAAGCGUUGUCCGGAUUUAUUGGGUUUAAAGGGUGCGUAGGCGGCCUCUUAAGUCAGUGGUGAAAGCCCGCGGCUCAACCGCGGAACUGCCAUUGAUACUGGGAGGCUUGAGUACAGACGAGGUAGGCGGAAUUGAAGAUGUAGCGGUGAAAUGCUUAGAUAUCUUCAAGAACACCGAUUGCGUAGGCAGCUUACUAGGCUGUAACUGACGCUGAGGUGCGAAAGCGUGGGGAGCAAACAGG
rnacentral:rRNA from 1 species